AGGUGAGGACGAAGGUGAACUCAUAUUUGUUGGUAAGUGUCCUACCUUUUUAUUGCUUUUCCUUUAAAUUUUAUAUAUUUAUAUUACUUAAUGUAUGUAAUUAAUUUGUUACAUUACAGAUGAACUACAAUUUCGAUGACAUUAACGACGAUAUAUUGGCGUGCGUCAACAGGCUCUUCGCUGAACGGUACAAGUAGUGAAAGAUUAACCUACACCAAUAUUUUGAGACAUUUGAUGAUUUGUAGGUUGCUCUUGAGGAGGGUUGCCCAAAGAAGUUUAAGGACCGGGAAGAAAAUUGGGUGUGGCUCUGCAAUCAUUUUCAGGAGCCCGGCUAUGUGGUACAUUUUUUAUUUUAAGUCUAAAAGUGUUAUACGUUUCUUACUAAUGUUUAUAGAUUUUUUUAUUUUUCAUUUAAAUUAGAACUAAUACGUUUAUUUUUUGUAUAACAGAAGAAGGCGAAAGCGAACA
rnacentral:lncRNA from 1 species